GUUCCGUUCCGGUCAAAAUUAUUUCAAGUCAACAAGUAAUAGUCAAACAUUAUAUCAACAUGUUAUAACUCUCAAUACAAUGUUGAAAAUAUCAAGAUGAAGUUCAAACUCAAAAAAAUAAAACGAAAGUUUAAAGCAUAUACUUCAAAACUGCAAAAUACAUUUGAAACCUCUAAGGAUAUACAUGAAAAUUAAACGCAAGUCCAAACUUUUAUUUAUAAUACGAAACUCCCAAAUGAUAAGUCAAAGCCGCGGCUCAUAAAAAUAAAUCGAAAAGUCAAAAAUAUAAAUCGAAAGGAAACGGAAGUAAGCAACUUAAUACAGAGGAAGUCAGGAAACGGAAGUUAACCAAGAAGCCAGCGAAUGGAUUCUUUGUUUUAAAGGGGGGUGAACACGCGCUGAGAUAUUUACGUAUGUCGAUAUUAAAAAGUUAAAGAUUUCGAAACUGACGAAUUAUUUCUCUCUUUAUAAACAUUGCUGACCUCGUCUUUUACAGUAACAAUUACAUUAUUAUAUUAUAUUAUAUUAUGAUUCAACCGAAUAUCUUGCUCGCCGUCUGGAUGUUUACGAGAUAAAUAUUCUUGUACUAAUCUAUAGCCUGAUGAUCCUGGGUGAUACUUGUGAGAUACCACGAACAAGUAGAUCAAGAUCAUUGUCCCUUAUCGUAGAAUGUGAUUGAGUGAUUCCCUGUUCGUAUAUAGCGGAGACAAAGUAAAAUUAACGUCGACGUCGUCGUA